GAUACUAUGGCCGAGUGGUUAAGGCGGGAGACUCGAAUGUUUUCAAGUUAUCUCUUGGGCUCUGCCCGCGCAGGUUCAAAUCCUGCUGGUGUCG
rnacentral:tRNA from 1 species